AGCAGGGUUGCAGGUCCGGGCUCAGGCAGCCCCGGUUUUCCAGAGCGUCCUAAUGACCCAGAUGUGCUGCUGCAGAGAGAUGACUGCUUUGGGAACUGCAAAUCACCGGCCCCUGGCGGCCCCUCCCUUGGACAGGGGCUGGACCGAGGGAGGACAGGCCUGUGGCCUGGCUGGAGCUUCUUGACCCCAGUCAGGAGAGGCGAACCGUAACGGUGGGCUCCCAUCCUCCUGUACGAGGCUUGCUUGGACUGAUGGAAUCCCAAAUCAGGAAGCACCUUUAGGAAUCUUCCAGCCCAUGGGGGGAAAUGUGUGUGCGCACCUGUGCGUAUAUGCACACAUGAUUCAGAGCACCAAAUGUCAGAAGACUGUGACUCGGGGGUCACCUGGCCACAUUUGCAGCAGCCCCACAUGCUGACUGCUGGCAGCCAGGUCCCCGCAUUUGCUCAGACGCCCAAACUUCUGGCUGUGCCCUCAUUCGUCAGCCCGAAAGCCCAGGAACAUCUCGUGACCCACCUUGGGAGAAAGCUGAGCAGAGAAGGCAGAGCAAGAGCCUGCCCAAUGGUGAGCCAGGCGCCCUUGAGCCCGGUAAUGACCUGGGACCCUCAGCCGCUUCCCCUGUCAACUUGGCAGAGAGGAAGCCAGACAAGUCAGGGAGAGCACCGGGCACGCUGCUGGUUCCCCGGGCCUGUGUGUCCCCUCCUCUCCAGAGACAGGCUGACUUGCCCAGCCCAGAUCAUCUGACAGGCCAGACAAAUAAGGGCAUGUGGCCCAAUUCACUCUGUGGACCACCUUGCAGUUUGGGGCUCUCGUGGGGAUAUGAAGCAUUUGGAAACUCUCCCCCCGUCCUCCCCACCAUCCUUCUCCCUUCCAAGGCAGGAUCUGGCCUCUUGA